rnacentral:rRNA from 1 species
GGACCAAGGAGUCUAGCGUGUGCGCGAGUCAUUGGGACUCUAACGAAACCUAAAGGCGUAAUGAAAGUGAAGGUCCGCCUUGCGCGGACCGAGGGAGGAUGGGUCUCCUCGAGGGACACCCCGCACUCCCAGGGCGUCUCGUUCUCAUUGCGAGAAGAGGCGCACCAAGAGCGUACACGCUGGGACCCGAAAGAUGGUGAACUAUGCCUGGUCAGGACGAAGUCAGGGGAAACCCUGAUGGAGGUCCGUAGCGAUUCUGACGUGCAAAUCGAUCGUCGGAACUGGGUAUAGGGGCGAAAGACUAAUCGAACCAUCUAGUAGCUGGUUCCCUCCGAAGUUUCCCUCAGGAUAGCUGGCGCUCGCUUCUCGCGAGUCUCAUUCGGUAAAGCGAAUGAUUAGAGGCAUUGGGGUCGAAACGGCCUCAACCUAUUCUCAAACUUUAAAUGGGUGAGAUCUCCGGCUUGCUUGAACUGUGAAGCCGCGAGAUAUCGGAUCAGAGUGCCAAGUGGGCCACUUUUGGUAAGCAGAACUGGCGCUGUGGGAUGAACCAAACGCCGAGUUAAAGCGCCUAAAUCGACGCUUAUGGGAUACCAUGAAAGGUGUUGGUAACUUAAGACAGCAGGACGGUGGCCAUGGAAGUCGGA